ACAGUGGAUUUAACAAGGAGGGGUGGUUGAGUUUUUAAGGAGAAAAUUGAGAUUACAAGAGGUAGUGUUAAUAGAAUUAGGGUUAAUGUAAAAGAUGAGUUAAAAAUUAGAGGGGGGUUCACAGCUUUUACUUGGAUUUGCACCAAGGGGUUUUGGUUCCUAAGACCAACGGAUGAACUGUUUUCCUUUAAAAGCCGAGUUAACCAUAGAAUCGAACUAUGGUGGCGAGUAAUUAGCAGUUCUCGUUGUCCCAGUUUAUCUCGGUGGGUAAGAAGAAUUUAACUUCUAUUUCUAGAAUCACAAUCUAGUAUUUUAUUUAAAUUAUACCUACAGAGGAAGCUCCCUCAGAUCAGCUCUGGUUUACAGAUUAAGAGAAGCAAAGGGGUCAAGUGAAGGGCAAGCACGAGGUGUUCUCCAAAAAGGGAGAUUUUGGAGAUUUUAAUAUUGAUUGUCUGAAUUCUAAAAAUAAUAAAUCAUGUACACUGUUUAAGACUUUGCAGUUAACACAAUUAAUUUCCUUCCCAACUCGCAGUAAUAUUAAAAGCAAGAACUGUACCUUGCUAUAUUGGAUUCCCUCCAGUUGUCCUGACAGAAUCCAGGAGGCGGGGAUUCUCCCUAACAGUUUCAGUGACCACUGUCUAGUGUAGAG